UCUUGGUCAUUUAGAGGAAGUAAAAGUCGUAACAAGGUUUCCGUAGGUGAACCUGCGGAAGGAUCAUUAAAGAAAUUUAAUAAUUUUGAAAAUGGAUUUUUUUUUUUUUUGUUUUGGCAAGAGCAUGAGAGCUUUUACUGGGCAAGAAGACAAGAGAUGGAGAGUCCAGCCGGGCCUGCGCUUAAGUGCGCGGUCUUGCUAGGCUUGUAAGUUUCUUUCUUGCUAUUCCAAACGGUGAGAGAUUUCUGUGCUUUUGUUAUAGGACAAUUAAAACCGUUUCAAUACAACACACUGUGGAGUUUUCAUAUCUUUGCAACUUUUUCUUUGGGCAUUCGAGCAAUCGGGGCCCAGAGGUUAACAAACACAAACAAUUUUAUCUAUUCAUUAAAUUUUUGUCAAAAACAAGAAUUUUCGUAACUGGAAAUUUUAAAAUAUUAAAAACUUUCAACAACGGAUCUCUUGGUUCUCGCAUCGAUGAAGAACGCAGCGAAAUGCGAUACGUAAUGUGAAUUGCAGAAUUCCGUGAAUCAUCGAAUCUUUGAACGCACAUUGCGCCCCUUGGUAUUCCAGGGGGCAUGCCUGUUUGAGCGUCAUUUCCUUCUCAAACAUUCUGUUUGGUAGUGAGUGAUACUCUUUGGAGUUAACUUGAAAUUGCUGGCCUUUUCAUUGGAUGUUUUUUUUUCCAAAGAGAGGUUUCUCUGCGUGCUUGAGGUAUAAUGCAAGUACGGUCGUUUUAGGUUUUACCAACUGCGGCUAAUCUUUUUUAUACUGAGCGUAUUGGAACGUUAUCGAUAAGAAGAGAGCGUCUAGGCGAACAAUGUUCUUAAAGUUUGACCUCAAAUCAGGUAGGAGUACCCGCUGAACUUAAGCAUAUCAAUAAGCGGAG
rnacentral:rRNA from 1 species